AAGGUGGGUUUAAAAUAUUUUCAGAAAAGCUGAGGGUUGAAAAUAUUUAGUUUGAAAAUAUGGGGGGGUUUCAAAAUCUCUAAGAGGAAAAGAAAAGGGACACUCUGUUGGUGGUCGACGUCGCGAGAUUUCGAUAGCGACAAGUUUGCUAAUAGCUCGUUGUUCUAUUUGCUUCGCCAAAAGAGGUAAAUGCACGCUCGUCCCUCUUUCUGCUUCAUUUUGAUGUUUCUUGCUUCAUCCCACUUUCUUCGUAGAAGUAGUUAUCUGUGUAUCGUGAAUGAUACUGGGGUGUCUGUUUAGGCUGUCUGUUGUAGAGGUCUUAAAGACCACAGAGCACAGUUUGCUGAAAUUAUUGCUUGUCAUAUAAUUAUGUGUGGUGUCAAAUUGCUAGCUUAACGGUUAAGGAAUACUUCUUGAGUCUCACAUGCAUGUCUCAACUUUGUAAUCUGCUACUUGAUUUAACCUUGUUAAUUAGUUUUUCGAUUCGCUGCUAUGUAUUGGUAUUGAUCGUGGAUUUAAUCCAAUGUUUCACUUCACUAGUUAUCCGGCGUAUCAUGUUAUAAUUGGUAAUACAUAAAAGUUUCACGUGUUAAUAGUUGUAGGGAUAAUAAUAUCCUAUUACAAAUGAUCCUACGUCAAGUUCGUGUUUUGCAUUUAUUUCAUAGUUUCAGGGUGCGGGUAUGUUGUUCUAUCUGAUCUCCUGGGUAAGGUUCAGUAUUUUUACUUGUUUAGUAAGUGUAGAACUGCCAGAGUUCUGUUUACCUGAUUCGAUGGUUAGUGUCGCGUGUUUUGGCGCUUAUCAAAGUUCUGUUGAAAUUUUGUUGAUCUUUUCAUGACUAAGGUGGCCUAUUUUUGUUUCGUUUGAUAAAUUUUGGGUUUCCAAAGUUCGUUUACCUAAUCUCAGUGUUCCUUUCAUUAUGGGAUUGUAAAGUUUGAACUUGUUAUUUCACCUUCGAGUUCAUUCUAAGUCGAUAUUUCUACUUUUUGGAUCCCCAAGGGAAAUGUAAUUGUCUUAUUGAAAGAGGAUGGGUAGGGUCCCUUCGAUAUUGUAUUUGAGUCUGAAUGAUAUUGUAUAAUGAAGAUAUGAUCUUGACUUUCAAAUGACCCGGCUUAUGAACAUCCUUCGCAUUUUGUUCUAAGCCUGAAUGUUUAAAUUUUGAGGUUAUAAUAUGCGAAAAGAUUAUUUUGACCAUUAAGAGAAACGAGUCUUUCGUUAUGUGUUUGGGACUCCCCGUGUUUCAUUCUUGGUGUUUUAUAUAGUGUUCUAACGAUGUGUUUGAUGUAAAUUAUUUGGGUGUAUUACUAGUGUUAGCUAAAGUUCCUCAACUCAUUAAUUAAUAUGAAAGAUUUAAGCUGGUGGCAGUGCAUUUGAUGUAAGGGACAUUCUCCCGCUUUGCUCAAACUAAUUUUCUUUGAUUGCCUCUCCAUGGUUCGAUAUUUUGAGUUUUCUAUUUGUUAUUUUCCAACUAAUCUUAUAGGAUUUUGAGGGUACGCAUAGGGAAGAUUUUGACUCAGAAUGUUGUUUGCCUAUAUGAACGCACCCUCACACUUCUCAUUAGCCUUAUGGCUUUGUUUUGACUGACUAGGAGUUAGUUUGCUCGGUGAUGUCUUUCAUUUAGAUAGUCAUAUGUCAUGCAUCUUAUUUUUUUUAUUUAUUUCCUUGAUUUAAUUUUUGUGUUUCUCUCCUUUAACCCCCCUUUUCCUUUUCUUUCUUAGUUGAUCAAAUAUUAAUGGUCAUUACUUUCUUGCUUUGCAUAAACCCGCUUGAGAGUCCAAACGGACUUUUUCCCUUGCGUUUCGCAGUGGGCCAUGGAGGCCCAUCCUUUAGGAGACUUUGAAAAGCAAAUUGCAUGGCAUACAGAUACAAGAAGUCGAAAGAGGAAUAAUGGGUUAAAAUCCCAUACUUAAAGCGACGAUGAAGCCCGAGCCUCAUUUCUGUUUCUUUAUUUAAUGUCAUUAUCUACCUAUUGUUGUCAUUUUAUUAUUAUUUAUUUCCUCUUUUUUCUGUCAUUAUUCAUUCAUUUAGGCCUCGAAGCCGAAUUUGUAUUUAAUAUAGGUGAAGUGAGACUCGAGCUAAAGCCUCGCAAACAAAGAAUUAGGGUAGGUGAAAAUGGGUCGAAAACCAAACUAGAUUAGGACAGGGUCGAUGGUUUGGGCUUAAAAUCCCAAAUCACCACUUCCCCGCUUUUCCCCUUUUCCUUUCAUUUACUUGUUUACUUAUCUCUUUGCGAACCUAGUUAAAUCCCUAACUAAGUCGCUAAAAAACUGAUUUCGUGAAAACCUUUUCCUUAGUCAAUUACUUUUCCAACAAACCGAUUUUCCAAAGUUAAUCAAAAGAAUGUUUUCAAACAGUCUAGAUAACCGCAAGUUAGUGGACGUUGAAGGUGCCUAAAACCUUCCUAAAACGUUAAUAGGAACCUCUUACUCAGAAUCUCUAAGUUAAAACGAUUUUUCUGUUUUGAUCGUUUUAAGUAACUCUCUAAAGGUUUCUUAAUUCCUUUUCAAAUUUAAGUGGCGACUCUAUCAAAAGUCAAAAAUUUCCGCAAAACAGAAAUGGCGACUCUGCUGGGGACCUCUAACUAGGUUCUAACCAAAUGUUUAAUUUCGUCUUUUGAUUAACUGUUUAUGUAUUUAUGUGAGUCGAUUCUGUAGAGUUUAAUUAUCGCAUCUCAUGGCAUAUUCCUACAUCAUUUAAACUAUUUUGGGGUUUCGUGGGUAUCCCGGCCCCUAUUGAUCAAUUCCAAAAAUGUGUUAGAAAUACAAACAGUUUAUUAGCACGUGAGUCGUCUGAUGGCUGUUUGUAUUUUCAAACUCAAGUUGUCCGCUUGAGAACUAGUAUUCAAACCCACUCUAGAUACCUAGGAUAGAGCGAAACCAAAACCCUAUUUCAGGCAUGAGCUUAGGAUGACCCAAUACCCAAGCGGGGUAUUUGGCCCAUUAGAAAAUUUGUCAUGCGUCUAUUGACCCCGAGUCAAUUAAUGACAAACCAUAUUUAUGUGUUGAAGAAAAUGUAUGCCUGUCUAAUUCAAUCUAUUAUCCAUUGGGGGUCGGGAGAAGACUUGCUUUACUCACUUUUGUAUAAGUAUGCCUCAAUCGUACACCAAUUGACGAAGGAAUUGAAGCAAGUUAAGCAAGAAAUUGAUCGAUUUGGGAGGUUGCAUCUAAGGCACAGUUUGAACAUCAAUGGAUGUCACCAAUAUAAGAAAUGGACGAAGCUAAGAAGGUGAAAGUUGAUAGAAGAAGCACUCAGGAAUUAGUAUUUUCUAUCCCCAGUGUGGGAACGUGUCUUUUUCAUGUUAUUUCCCUUUCCCUAAAGAUUGUAUCCCUUUUAUUAUAUAUUUUGUAGGAAUUUAUGCCCUUUUAGAGUUUACAAAAGUUGGGGGAUAAUUGAUUGACCUUAAGCAAGCAUAUAUUUUUUUUCAAAAAUCGUAGGCCUGAACCCUUGGCUCAAAAAGGGUCACCCCAGCUAGGCUAUGCAUUAUUAUGUUUUGUGUGAUAUAACUAUUUUAUGUGCUUAUGUGCAUUUGUUUGGAUCAAAGGCAAGUUUAUCCACUAUGUCGUAUGGAUGAAUUUGGCUAUGACUCAAACAAAUCUAUGUGGUUAUUUCCUGUCAAAUAUUUUGCAUUACUUAUCACAUACGGAAACUAACACAUCUGCCUUUGAGUUGUUUUACUUUACAGAUAAUAGAAAUUACUCUGUGUUAACAUAAACUGGCAGAACAUCUCUACUUCACCCGAUCGAAAGCGCACAAAAUCCCAUCCUCUAACAAUCAUUCAAAAAUGAUAGAAAAUUAUGAAGAAAGCACACUGACUAUCCGGGACAAUGUGAUAGCAGAGCAGAAUAAGAUGAUUGCGGAACUUGCAAGAAAGUUAGAAAUACUUCAGAAGAAAUAAAUCACACUCUGGAUUUGGCUAACUUGGCCAUUACCGUCAAUGCCCCCGCUCCAGGAGGACACAGGACUCCACUCCAAAUUCCUCCCCUCAGUACCCCUACUCUUGGGGAUCAGCCAAAUAAUGUAUUGUCCGUCUCCGCUCCUCCAUUUGUCCAAAAUACCAAUCAUGAAAAUAACCCAGACGUCUACCCUCUGCAAAAUCCACAGAACCCGUCUCUGAAUCCAUUCCCAAAUCCUCAAAACACAUUUUCAAAUCAACAAAAUGCAUUCCCAAAUCCGCAAGAUUCACUCUCAAACCCACAAAAUACGUCAAACCUACCUUCAAAUCCCCCAAAUUCAUUUUCAAAUCCACAAAAUCCUUCUCAGAUUCCGUUAAACUAAUCGCAAAGUCCGCAUAACCUUCCCAAUUUCCAAAACUUCCUCCCCACUUACCAACCAAAUUCCUUUCAUCCAUAAAAUCAAGCCUCCCUUCCAAAUCCCUCUCAGGCCAUCGUAUCCCCUGAUAUCUAUGAACUCCUUUCUAAUUGCGAGAUGGACCAUUACGAGGAGAAUGAGAAAGAGUGGAGGACCGAGCAUGAAAGAAAUUUACUAGCUAUGGAGGAAGAGAUCAUGAGGAUCAAAGAGUCUCAUGGAGUCAGGGACCACGACAGUUUGGGGUAUGACGAUUUAUGUGUUCACCCUGGAGUAGACCUACUGGAUGGGUACAAAAUUCCUAAGUUUGAAAUAUUUGACGGUACCAAAAAUCCAAUGGACUAUCUGAGAAGGUACUGUGAGUAACUGAUAGGGAUAGGUAAAAAUGAGGCAUUGUUGAUAUGCCUAUUCAGUCGAAGUUUAAGCAGCAAAGCCUUAGAAUAGUUCAUGUCUCAGGAGCCGAAAAGAUGGACAGGAUGGAAAGAAUUAGCCAAGGUUUUCCUUGACAGGUUUGCAUUCAACAUUGAAAUAGUCCGUGAUCGAUAUUCACUAGAUCGGAUCAAACGGAGGAAUGAUAAGAGUUUUCGAGACUAUGCUUUUCGUUGGAGGAAAGAAGCUGCCAAAGUGCAACCCCCAUGUCCGAGGAAGAAAUGGUAUCCAUGUUCUCUCGCACACAAGAAAUAGAAUAUUAUACCAGGAUGAUGUCAGAUGUUAGGGAAACUUUUACGAAUUUAGUAAAAAUAGGAGAAUCAUUGGAAGAAGGUAUUCGUACAGGGAAAAUUGCCAAGACCCCGGCAUUAUCUAGGGCUGCCAUGUUUUCGAAGAAGAAAAAGGAAGAUGUAGGCACGAUUUCUGCUAAUCUUAUUGCAAAAAACAAAAAAGAAGAUCAACUCUAGGAAUGUUUUCUCUUCUCCGCCAUCACCAAGCUUUCAACAUGUAUUCUAUGCCCACCCCCAAUACCAAGCUCUACAGCUAAAUAUCUCCCCCCAAUACCGAGCCCCACUCCCAAACCUCCAAUCCUCAUACCAAGCUCCACAGGCAAAUAUCUUUCCCCAAUACCUAGUUCCACAUCCAAAUUAUCAGUCUUAUUUCCAAUCCACUCCUCAAAAUAACCCAACAAAUUCCCAAGCGCCUCCAAAUUAUCACCAAGUACCUCCUCCUACAAAUCAAAUCCAUUAUAACCCCCCACAUCCAAACCACGAAAAGAAAUUCCCCAAAACUUCACACCACAAAAUGAAAGUCGCACCCAAUUUUUUGAAAGAUUGAAGAAAUGCUGGUCAUUUGCAACCAAUACAGCCAAGGACUGUCAAUCCUAACUCUUGAUUUUUUAAUGCAAGUCAACAUUGUUCCUAUCAUUAAGGAGCAGUGAGGCACAGUACUAAGGAUUGUAUCUACCUGAAACAUAGGAUCCAGGAUUUAAUCGAUCAUAAGGUCAUCACGCUCGAGGCACCUACACCAAAUGUUAAUAGUAAUCCAUUGCCCAACCAAUGGGGACCUAUAGUUAACAUGAUUGAAAUAGAGGAUGAAUAGAUGUUAAAUAAUGAUGGUCUUGGGGAUGGGAUAGGAAAUCUGUUCAAGGGAUGCAAUGUUGUACCGGAAGAUUUUUUAAAACACAGUUGGGUAAAGAAGGUUGCACCAGGAGAGGCUUUACAAAAUUAGACUUCCACUCUGCUCCUAAUUCGUCACCCGUCGUGGUAGAUGGAAGGGCAAUUACUAAUAGUUUUUAAAAUCGGUGAUGAUCCAGAGAAGGCCCCAUGAUCCACCCUUUUAUGUUUCAAAUUUUUGUUUCGUGUUUUAAAACUUUCAAAAAGGCAUGGGCCCACAUUUAUGUGGGUCAUAAUCCAUGGUUUUUAUUUAUUUAUUUUCGAAAAGGCCUCCCUUUAUUUAAGAAGUUAUUUUUUUAAAAUAUGAUUAUCUAGCUUGGUUUAUUUUGGUAGCAUUAAUUUAAAAACCUGCCAAUGUCAUGUCAUGUCAAGGGUUAGACGAACAAGGCAAAGGAAAUAAUGAUGAACAGAUAAGGUGAUAAGGAGCAGCUAGUAGUAGAUAUAGAGGAAUGUGAAAAUCAAAAGAAGCCCAACCUGGAAGAGCUCUGAUUUUGUCAUAGAUGGAUAGCACAGAGUGGACCAAACCAAUCAAUUCUGAUGUGGUAAAGAGAUAUUAUGUUUGAAGGACGUUCUAGUUUUCGUGUUUCUUUAGUUAAUUUACUUGUAAUCACGUUCGUAGUAAUGUUUUUUUCUAGUAUGUAACUGCCUAGAAUCCUUUCCCUUUAUGUACGAACUACGUUUGACCUAAAUUCCCAAGAAAGGGAUUCAUAAUCGGCCUAUGUCGGCUUCGGUCAACCCCUUGGGACAAUUUAUCCUUUCCCUUUAUUUACGAACUAUGUUUGACCUGAAUUCCCAAGAAAGGGAUACGUUGGCGGCCUAUAUUGGCUUCGGUCAACCCCUUAGGACAAUUUAUCCUUUCCCUUUAUGUAUGAACUACGUUUGACCUGAAUUCCUAAGAAAGGGAUACGUAGGCGGCUGCUUUGGUCAACCCUUAGGACAAUUUAUCCUUUCACCCUAUGUAUGAACUACGUGAUGACCUGAAUGCCGAAUAAAAGGGAUACGUAGGUGGACUAUGUUGGCAUUGGUCAACCCAUUAAUUUCUUUUGUAUAUCCCUAGCGUAGUUCUGAACUACAUUUGACCUGAUUCAUGUUUCAACGAGAUACGUAGGUGCCCCAAUGGCCCGAUCAUAUAACCCCAGAAAAUGGAAACUGGGGAAGAAGUUUUGAGAAGGAAUCUCGAAAAUUCACAAGAGUAGAUCGGCAUCCAACAAAGAGACUGAAGAUCAGCAAAGACUUCAGAUCCACUCAGAUUGGUAUCAUCUCAAACAACUCUAAACUGGGGCAAAAAUUUUGAGGGAAGACCUCAAAAUUUCCACCAGAUGCUGGAACAUAUCUCAAAUUCCCCAGCACGAGAGGUUAAGGCCAAACUUUUAAAGUAGUCAACUGCGACAAAGUCUAGGCAAGCUCAAUCUCUUUCUAUGAUAGAACUACUUGAAGAAAACCUCUAACAAUGAUCAUGAGCUUUGGGAAUCAUUCGUCGAAUAUAGUCAAAACCAUGAGGAGGACGUUCAUUGAGCUAGUACAUGACAUGACUGGCAGAGAUUUUCUAAAGUUUUACAGAAGCUUUUGAAACUAUUUUCUAAAAAUUAAGACUAUUUUCAAAAAUCUUACAACUCACUUAUUUAGUACUUACCUAGACAUCACUCGGGAUGAAGUGUCAGGACGGAAGUACCGAUAUGGCAAAAUGCCCAAGAGAUGGCGAACAGCAAAUCAAGGAUCGAAGAAGGUCAACACAGAGUAAUUUCAUUAAAACUAAUCAUUUUUCUGUGGAUGCAGGGAUCAAUACAAAAAAAUGAGAGUUUCUUUCAAAAAUCCCCAGCAAAUUGGGAGCCACACCAGAGUACCAAUGCUCAAGAAUGGUAAUUUAGGGUAGCCCUAAAAAUGGGUUUAAUACCCAUUUAUUGAGGACCUUUUGAUUUGUCCACCUCAUUUCUUGAGAUCAUGGAACACAAACAAAGGUGUAUUGUCUUCUUUGUAAAUAUUGUAUUUAGAAGUUGCCUAAAAAUAGUCGCUAGCAAAACCGACUUUGUGUCUACUAAUCAUCUACCUUGAGUACAAGUACAUGUAGAAAGAAAGACGCAGACAAAUGAACUCAGGUAAAAUUAUUUUAAAAUUUGCCAAGAGGGCCAUUGCAUAUCAUUGCCGCAAAGACCAUUACAUAUCAUUUCCUCAAAGGCCAUUACAUAUAAUUGCCGCAAAGGCCAUUACAUAUCAUUGCCUCAAAGGCCAUUUCAUAUCAUUGCCACAAGGGCCAUUGCAUAUCAUUGCCGCAAAGGCCAUAGAAUAUCAUUGCCGCAAGGGCCAUUGCAUAUUAUUGCCACAAAGGCCAUUACAUAUCAUUGCCGCAAAGGCCAUUACAUAUCAUUACCACAAAGGCCAUUACAUAUCAUUGCUGCAAAAGCCAUUACAUAUCAUUUCCGCAGAGGCCAUUACAUAUCAUUGCCGCAAUAGCCAUUACAUAUCAUUGUCACAAAGGCCAUUACAUAUCAUUGCUGCGAGGGCAAUCGCAUAUCAUUGCCGCAAGGGCCAUCUUAUAUCAUCACCCAAGAUGGCUGUUCAAUAUAUAUGUGGAUGCGCUAGACACAAUGCUGGUGUCGAGGAUAUCAUCAGCAUUCAAUAUAUCUAUUGACGUGCUAGACACAAUGUUGGCAUCAAGGAUAUCUUAUUAUUUUAUAAAUCAACAUCUUAAUGCAUCAAGAGCACACGAUUUGAAAGGACGCCUUUAAGUUGUUAUCUAAGGAUGAAUGAUAUAUAAGAUUUCCUAGAAAUUGACAAUUUGAGGGUCAUCUAUAAGUCAUAUUAUUUGAAAUAGGAUAGUAUGCAAGAUCACCUAUGAGUUGAUAGCUUGCAGGCCAUCUGUAAGACACAACAACAUCCUAACUGUAUAGUGUGAAAGAUCGCCCAAAAGUCGAUAGUUCAAAGGUUAUCCAUAAGUCGCAACUAAAUCCUUACCAAAAAUAUGCAAAAUUAUCAAAUUGAUACGUCCAAAGGUUCUCUAUAAGCCGCAUCAUAUCCAAGAUCGAUUAUGUGUAUGAUUACCCAAAGACUAACAAUUUAAGGGAUUAUCUAUAAGUCAUGUUGUAUCCAAGGUCGGAUGAUGUGCAGGAACACUUGAAAGUUAGCGAUUAGAGGGAUAUCUAUAAGCCAUCUCUUAUCCAAAGUCGAAUAAUGUGCAGGAUUACCUAAAAGCUAACAAUUCAAAGGAUAUCUAUAAGUUUCCUCGUAUCCAACGUCAAAUAGUGCGCAAGAUUAUCCAAAGAUUGACAAUUUAAGAAAAACUUAUAAAUUGAUCAUCGGCUAUAACCGGAGAGGUUUUCAUUCCACAUACAACAAGUGAUAUAGGUAACCAAAAGGGUUGCCACUCCAGCACAAGAUUACACGGUUGUAGGGACCGUUCUGGAUAAAGUAUCGCCGGUGUCCCCCACUUGGAAGACACAUUCAACCGACAAAUGUCACAAUUAUACAACAACCAAGAGGGUUGUUGUGUUUGUUAUUGCCAGUUAUUUCAUUCCAAAUAGGUACAUGAAGAGAUGACUCCGCUUUUCAGGCCACAACUUACUUAAAGAUAUGGUAAAAGACUACAUACCUCUAUCGUGAAUUAUGUUUAGCACUAACACUUUUUGCUUGAAGCAUUUUCGAGAGCAUCCGAUAGGAUGAAAAUCUCAAAUCAAAACAACAGCUGUAGACGACUUCAAAGAGGAUGCAACACAAUGCGGAACUCUUUCUCAGUAGCAAAAUGGGACAUACUCUAGAGAGGGAUGUCAAACUCUCUAGACGCGAGCUAAAUGAUGAUCACCACCACCAUCUAACCACGCCUCUAUUAGAAGGCAUGUGGAUAUUUUUGGAUGUUCUUGUCUCAGUUUUACCUCUGGGAUAUUUUCUUAACUCAUACCGACGAAAACUUUCUUUUUCUUUCAAAUUCGGGUGGCAACGCACUUAGAGUUUUGGAAAUUAUAUUCAGGUAAAUUCUUGACUAUGGAUGUGAAGGAUACCACAUUCAUGGUUAAUAGGUUACAAUCCUCUUUUUCGCAACUCAAUCAACUUGUCACUCAUUCUGAGCCAAAGAUAGUCUGAAAUAAAAGACUAUCUUUUCUACCGAUUGAGUCGAACUACAAGCAGUCUGAUUUCCUGAAAUCUUGGGGAUAUGUAGGUUGGGAUCUAUGUAGAAAACUAGACUGCAUUCCAACCUCCCCCCAAAUCCCUCUAUUCCCCAGCUUUUCGGCUUUAUCGAGAAUUCCAAAAAUCGAGACAACUUGUGAAUUUUUUAAAAAUUGUGCUUUAAAUCAAGCCUUAUGAACUACAAGUAACCUUAAUUCUCAUGUAACCUGAGAUAUGUGAGAAACCCAAUACCGAGGUUCGGCCAUAAUUCUUGCAACUGGUACGAAAACCCACCUCUUUCCCAUUCGAAUUUGUGGUUGAACAAAAUUAGGAACGUCAACCUCCCUUUGCCAAGGGUUGCUUGCAUUCACCCUACCCAAAAAGAGGGAGCAAUUGUUGACACCUAAUUUUUGUUCUCCACGACUAAGUUUAAUCCCGAAUUUCUUGAAUAUUAAAUAAAAUCACAACAUAUAUUUUUUUUUGAACAAAGAUAUUUUUCACAAUUAUUCAGGUAAAUUUGUAAACUUUAAGUAAAGAUUAUAUAUUAUCGUGUUUUAUAUAUAUGAUAUCAUAUAAUUUGAUUACUUGUAUAUUUAUUAAAAUAUUAGAUUUUAAUUAAGUCUUAUUCCAAAAAUAUUUUUAAUAAGUUGAUUUUAAGUACUACGUGUUCUUGAAAUAGCUUAUACGGAAAUAAUUAAGUAAACAUAUGUGUGUGAGUUUAUCAAGACAAGAAGCUCAGGUUAAAUGAGGUAUUAAUUCAUUUUGAAUUUUGAUUCAGUUUAGCCAAUCUAUUAGGAACGCCAUAAUCGAAAUCCAAAUGGCCAUAAUUGCAAUGCAAUUGGCCAAUUGAUUUCAAUUUGGCCAAAGCCUAAAUAGAAUUGGCCAAUUCCCCAAUAAUUAAAAUAGCCUAAAGGUAGACCAGCUUUAGUACCACUAAACCCAAAGUCACAUCCUCCAAACGGCCCAACAUACGCCAGAAACCAUUAAAAUCCACAUAACUCUCUCCUAGCCCAAUCAAUUAAGGCCCAAUUUUAGCAUCCCAUCAGUCAAUGAGGAUUUUUUUAUCUCUUUUCUCCUCUUCUUUCUCUUUUGAAUUGGAAGUUUUAGAGGCAAAGGUGGGUUCAAAAUAUUUUCAGAAAAGCUGAGGGUUGAAAAUAUUUAGUUUGAAAAUCUGGGGGGUUUCAAAAUCUCUAAGAGAUAAAGCAAGGGGAAACUCUGUUGGUGGUCGACGUCACGAGAUUUCGAUAGCAACAAGUUUUCUGAUAGCUCAUCGUUCCGUUUGCUGCCCCGAAAGAGGUAAAUGCAUGCUCGUCCCUUUUUCUACUUCAUUUUGAUGUUUCCUGCUUCAUCCAUCUUUCUUCGUAGAAGUAGUUAUCUAUGUAUCGUGAAUGAUGCUGGGUUGUCUGUUUGGGCUGUCUGUUGUAAAGGUCUUUAAGACCACAGAGCAUAGUUUG
rnacentral:lncRNA from 1 species